GCGAGGGUGGCGGAAUUGGUAGACGCGCUAGCUUCAGGUGUUAGUGUCCUAUGGACGUGGGGUUCAAGUCCCCCUUUCGCACCA
rnacentral:tRNA from 1 species